GAAAUCCUGAGGUGCACGACUACCGGCUAUUUUGAACCUACAUUUACUUUUAUGGGACUCUUAUUAUUGCAGCAAUGAUGUCAAGCCUCCUUUGUAGUGGAAGACAGUAAGUGCUGUUGCGGAUACCCACCUAGCGUUGCUAGGAGUCAAAAUCGCUGGAACGGCAUUUUGGGUUUUAA
rnacentral:other from 1 species